GGAAUGAUGGGAAUUUAAACCUCUUCCAGAGUAUCAAUUGGAGGGCAAGUCUGGUGCCAGCAGCCGCGGUAAUUCCAGCUCCAAUAGCGUAUAUUAAAAUUGUUGCAGUUAAAAAGCUCGUAGUUGAAUUUCUGCUGCAUUGCUUUUGCUCCUUUACGAGUCUUUGCAUUGUGGCUUAUUUCGGACUUUGUUUUACAAUGUCCGGAUGUUUACUUUGAGAAAAUUAGAGUGCUCAAAGCAGGCUUUCGCCUUGAAUAGUUUAGCAUGGAAUAAUAAAGUAGGACUUUGGUUCUAUUUUGUUGGUUUUAGGUACCAAAGUAAUGGUUAAUAGGAACAGUUGGGGGCAUUCGUAUUUAACUGUCAGAGGUGAAAUUCUUAGAUUUGUUAAAGACGAACUACUGCGAAAGCAUUUGCCAAGGAUGUUUUCAUUAAUCAAGAACGAAAGUUAGGGGAUCGAAGA
rnacentral:rRNA from 1 species